UCAUCACCAAAAGAAAUCCAGUCAGAGCUAAAAGCACAGCAUUAAAAAAUAUAAAACAAACCACACUCCAGACAAGAAUGCUUUAUCAGGCAAUGAAAGAAAUUGCACCUUAAGGGAAAUCAACCAUCAGAAGUUGAAACAGAUCUUGAUGUGAGUGGAAAGAAGCAAAUGUUCUGUGAAAGAGGUGAAGAUGGAAGAAUGCCAUAAAGGGACACUGUCUUGAACUUCAAAGGAGCAGUAUGGUGCAUUGGAUAGAAUAAUGCCUUCAGAAUCCCCAAUUCAAAUGAUUCCUCUUAAGACUAUUUCAGUGGAUGUGAUCGUAAAAACAUGGACACUCAAAAGAGAUGUUAGCCUUCAUUCUCAAAGAGGGUCAGUGACAUCAGGAGGGUGAUGUCUCAACUUGCAAGGGGUUUGGAUUUAAGUGAAACGGGGCUGUGCAGUCAUCAGCCCCACUCUCGCUUCCAUUGCCAUGAGUCCAGUGACAGGACAUAGGUCAAGAUGAUGAGCGACGGCCUAGAAACUGAGAUGGAAGUUCUGUCGUCUCAUUCAUCUGAACCAGAAUUCUAUACCUGGAGGGGGUAUUGACCUGUUGGGGAUUUUUACAAAUCACCGAGCCCGUUUCCCCAUCUGCAAAAUUAGGAACAAAAAACAGGAUCUGUGAUCAUCAGAGAAGGGAAUUCCCAGUGUGAAGGAUGGUAAGAUGGAAACAUUGGAACAAAGGAGCCAGGUUCAAAUCCUGUUUCUGCCUCUUGCUACUUGUGUGAUUUUGAGCAAGUCACUUCACUUCUCUGGGCCUGGAUUUCCUCAUCUGUAAAAUGAAGGGUUGGAUUAUAAAUGGUAUCUAUGAUUGCUACUAUUCCUAAAUCCACGAGCUUAUCAGUUCUCUCCUUAACCAAGUGGGAGAUGGUGUCUCCUGUAUUCGAGAGGAUUAUCCGAAGCUUAAAAAGUUGGGAGAGUUUUCGGAAGUCAUCUAGUUCAAUAUACCGGCAGAAUCCCUGCAAAAGACAUGUGCGACAUUGAGUUGACCAGAAUUGGCUUAAGGACCUCCAGUGAGAGAGAACUCACCAUCUCUAGAGCUUUUUGAGAAUUACCUGAGGCUUGGAGGGAUUAAUCCAUUUGAUAGCUAUAAAUGUCAGAGGGAUGAAGUCUUCUCAGCCCUGAACUCAGGGUGCUAGCCCCCAUGCCAUGAAGCUAAAGUUCAUUUAACCCUGUACCACAAACUGUCCCUAUAUGAAUUUGGACACGUGAUAUAUUGGACACGUACAUGGAGUACACGUGUCUAUAAAACAAGGACAAGAGCUUUUGUGGAAGUCAAAAAGUACUAUGUAGCACUUUGUAUAGACACUAUGCUAAGUGUUGGAAUACAAACUUACGUCCUUGAGGAGCUUAUAGUCUAAUGGAGCUUCCCUGUCACAUUUUCCACCCCCUACCUUGUUUUUUCCCUAAUCUUGCUUUCACAAUAUUUUUUAUUGUGGGAGCUUAAAAGUAGAUAAGAGGCUAUACUAGGGCAUGCUAAAGAGUCCUGAGGGUUUGACGAGCAGACUGAAGCUGACCUGGUUCUGGGAGGAACCAGCCAAUCAGAGAAAGAUGCCACAUUGUGGAAGAGGGUAGAGUGAACUUCCAGAGUGAAGAGAUUUCUGUGGCAAAGUAGAGAAAGUGUGGAGUCAGGAACAGCUGCCUAGAGGGGGAUGAAUUAUGUCUGACAAGAGUAUUGUGAGGCAUAAAUGACAUAAGAUGUGGAAAGUAUUUAGAAACUCUAAAAAGAGAUAAUUAUAAAGAAUAGUAUCUCACUUUAUAGACGGGGAAACUGAGACUUAGAGGGAAAGUCAUUUAAGUUACAUGAGGACUGAGAAUCAGAGUUGGGAUCUUCUGUCCCAGUGCUGAUGGACCCUUUGUGGCUGAUAUACAAGAGGAUAAAGGCAAUGCUUGGUCAGACGUGGCAGGCAUAUCUGGGUUAUGAUCUGCGGGUUGAAGAAAGUGCUCGCCUCAAAGAUCACAUUGGUGGUACAAAAAAGUAAAUGCUUGUGCAUGUAUAAAUCCCCCAAAGUCCCUGAAGAAAGGACGAUAGCUAAUUGACAUUCACAGACAUUAUUUCAGAACCAUUGUUGCUGAUUAUCUGCUCUUUGGCAAGUCUCUUCCUCUCCUUCAGCCUCAGUUUCCCUAUCCAUAAAAUGAGAUGAGUGGACACAAAACCAUGUUUGCAGUCCUCUCUGGUUCGGAAUCUUAUAAUGUAGUGCCCAGCAAGGGAGCUUGGAAUACUGUGGGUGCUUAGUAAAUGUUUGGUGAAUUAAGGGAGAUUUGGGAGAAGAUAUUUAAUAUAUUUGAUGGACUGAGAAAUGAAGAUAAAAGACACAUUUCACAGCUUUCAGUUCUUAGCCUAAGGCUAUCCAUCCCCUGGGGCAGGAUGGGUGGUUUUAAUCCUUCAGACCUUGAGGCCAGAGCCAGAGGAAAAACGUGAACAGUUUUUCUUCAAAAGCCCCAAAAUGUUUCUACCCCUGCUCUCCUGUCUACACUUCUGAGGGAAUAUGGAAAAAAAAAGUUGGCAGGCUAGUUGGAGAGAUCCCAAGGAAUUGGAAGAAUUCUCUCUGAAUGGUGCAAUCUGGUUGCAAUUGGGGGCCCCUUGGUGGUGGUGUGUAGUACUGCAGGUAAGGAUGUAACAGGGAUCCUGUUUCCUGUUAACAGUAUCUAUAGUUUUCACAAAGUUUGCUCCAAAUAUCUGAGAAAUCAUAGAAUCAAAAAUUGAGUUCUGUGCUCAAAAGUUUCCAUGUUACAUAGAGGGAUACUGAAGCCCAGGGUGGAGCAUCACAUUUCUAAAUUCACAGUUAAGUUGGGGCAGUGAAAAAUGACUUUUGGAAUCAGACUUUUGAGUUCAAAUUCAAGAUUUGUUCCUUAACACCAGUAGGAAUUAGGAGAGAUCUCUACAUGACUCUUGGCUUCAGUUUCCUCAUCUGUAAAGUGAAAUGUUUAGGCUAGAUGGCUGUCAAGGUUUCUUUCAGCUCUUAAUUCUAUGAUGCUACUAAAGUCUUAAGAGAUUUCUAUUUUUUUAAAUUAAGAUUAAGAUAUGCCAAAAUAAAAUCUUUAAACCAAAGUUUCUCCUCAGGCUAUAGAAGUCACAACUUUUCUUGCUUGUUAAGGAAUUUUAAUCAUUUAAUUCUAAGUACUUUUCUGAUUCUAUGGCUGCCAAUGAUUACAUAAAACUGGACUGGUCCUUAAGAGAUCUUUUAGUUCAGUUGAGACAGAUCUCAGUGAUUUGAAAAUCAGUGGGAAGAUGCUGUUUCCAGAUGUUUCCUCAGCAAAUCUAUGGUAAAUUCAUCAAAUUCCAACUACUCCAAAUUCCUUCCUUCAGAUUAAGCCAUUCUCUUUAAAAGCAAAAGUAUGGGCAGUUAGAUGGCACAGGGGAUGUAGCACUAGCUCUGUGGAGUCAGAAGGACCCAAGUUAAAAUCCAGCCUCAGUUAGACACUUAACACUAGUUUAUAGCAAGUCACUUAAUCUCAAUUGCCUCACAAAAUAUAAUCUUCUGAAGCCAUUAAGUUCUAAGAUUUAUUCCAAAAGCUCUCAGAAAAAAUCCAAAACCUAGUAUACUGCUUUGCUGCUUAGGAAAGUCGCUGAUCACUUUGCCUCAGUUUAAUUGGAUGCUAAUUUUUUUUUUUUAUAACUCAUGAUUGUGUGAUAACCUGAUGACUUGGGAAUACUGAGUGGACCCUAAAGGACCUUUUCAUUCUGGAAGAUUAUAAUUGCAUGACAUCCUUAGUGUGAAAGAAUUAACAUCUAUUUUUAAAAGUGAUUGAAAUUAGCCAAGAAUAAGCUUUCAUAGAAUUCUCAAUUCUGGAAUGGUACCUGUGACCAUCUGGUACAACUUAUACCUUAAGAAAUUAUCUGCAACAUGUCUGACAAGUAGGCAACAAGGUUUUUCUUGAAGCCCUUCAAUGAAGGGAUGCUUAUCUCUUCCCAAGAAAGCCAUUGCACAAUGCAUCACACACAGCAGCGCUCAAUAUUGUCACAAAAUAGGGAAAAAAUGAGCAAGAAAUCGAAAAGAACCUUAACCAGAGAAUGCUACUGUCAUGAUAAAAGGCCACCAAAAUACUAAUUCAGAAGAGGACAAAAUGCCCACAUGGGAAAUCUCAAAGGGUGAUAGGAAUUGGUCUCAAAAGAGGCAUCUUGGAAGUUUGCAUAAAGGAUUUUAAAAGGCAAAUGAGAAAAAUUGGAAAAAAAGGUGAGUCAAUAGCUUGGAAAAGGACAAAAACUGACUAGUCCUUUAAAUGCAAUUGGCCAAAUCCAUUGAAGAAAACAUCUUAAAACAAUUUAAAAUUAAAAGAUUUAAAAGCUAACUGAAGAAAAAUUAUAAACUAAACAAGAAUUGGGCAAAUGGAAGCUGACUUCACUGGAAAAAUGGCUGACCUGAAAAAUCGAUCCAUGGGAGAGAGAAUUGAAAAAUUUUGACCUACCUGAAGGCCAUGACCAAAAAAAGAGCUUGGAUAGUAUUCUCUGAGAGAUCAUCAAGGAAAACUGCUCUGAUAUUCUAGAACCAGAGCAAAAUAGUCAUUGAAAGAAUGUAUCAAUCUGUGGGGGAAAAGGAAAGAAACUGCUGCAAAACUCCAGAACACUUAACUCUCAAGGAAAAAAUUCUGCAAGCUGCCAGAAGAGAGAAUUCAUAUAUCAAGAAGUCAGGAUUACCCAGCAUCUGACGGCUUCUACAAUGAAGGAUCAGAGGACCUUGAAUUCUAUACUCCAGAAAGCAAAGGACCUGAGAUUACAACCAAGAAUCAACUACCCAGCAAGACUCCUAUCUUUCAGGGGAAAGAGUCCCUUCAAAGAAGGGAAUCAAUUUCCAUUUUAAAUAAAGACCAGAACUCAACAGGAAAUUUGAUUUUUGAACACAGGUCUCAAGAAGUACCUCAAAAAGGUAAAUGAGAAGGAGAAAACUCACAUUAUUUAAAGGUUAAACUUUUUGCAUCCCUAGAUGGGAAAAUAUUUAACUCUUGAGAGCUAUAUCUUUUAUUAGGACUGUUAUACAGAGAAUAGUUAUACAUAAGACACAGGGGGUGAGUAUAAAUUUACUCUGAAACAUUUAAAAAAUUAAGGGGGUGAGAAAGAUUGUACUUGAAGAGGAAAGGGGAGGUAAAAUCGGAUAAAUGAGAUUUCACAAAGUGGCACAAAACACAACAGAGGAAAAGGAGUAUUGUCUGAAUCAAAGUGGGAAUAACAUUCAGAUAUAGAAAUUUUUCUUCUAUGAGGAAGUAGGAGAAAAAAGGGGAAAUGAAUGGGCUGGAUAGAAGGGAGGGCAGGAGAAAGGGGGUAAGAGAAGAGAAGAGCAGUGAUAGAAGGGUAGAUUAAGGUCAGUGUAAGUCAGAAAUCACUAAGGACUGUGUGGAAAGAAGAAAAAUACAUAAACAGGGAAAAAAUAGGAUGGAGGGAAACACUAGUAACACUGAAUAGGAUGAAUUCUCCCAUUAAAAGGGAUAUAGCAGAGUGGAUUAAACAGAAUCAUACAAUGUUUUUAUAAGAAACAUAUCUGAAACAGAUACCAAGAACAGCAUCUAAAUUCUUAAGAGAAGUUAACCCAGUUACAGGAAUAGACAGCAAAACUACUAAUGGGGCACCUCAACCUCUAAAACUAAACACGGCGAAAUAGAAUUUUAGAAAAUAGGUUAAUUUAGUUAAUGAUAGACCUCUGGAGAAAAUAGAAAGGAAAUAUAUAUACACUUUGCUCAACAGUACAUGGCCUGUAAAAAUUGACCAUGUAUUAGGACAUAAAGGCAUAAAAACUCACAAAUGCAGAAACGCAUCAAUAGUAAAUGCUUCCUUUUCAGAUCAUGAUGCAAUAAUUCAAUAAAGGGUCAGGGACAAAAAUUUCAUCUAAGAGAAUAACAAAUUGUUCAUGAAUGGAUUGGGCAUGCAAACUAGAAAACUGGAAAAAAAUACCCCUCACCCAAUUAAAUAUUAGAAAUUCUGAAAAUUAAAAGUGAUAAAAUUGUGAGAAAACUAAAAAUUAAGAACUGGUUUUGGGGAAAAUGGGACAAAAUAAACCUUUGGUUAAUUUGAUUAGGAAAAGGAAAAACCAAAUUACCAGCAUUAAAUUAAAAGGAUGAACUUACC